AUCAUGACCGGAGCAGAAGUUGGAUGCCUAACUGACUGAGCCACGCAGUCGCCCCCACAGAUAUAAUUGUCUAGUGAGAGUGCCACUCAUUUGUGGCAGCAGGUACUGCCUUGGGCUGAAGGUCCCGCUUGCCGGGCUCCAUCCUUUCUGCCCACUGUCUGUUGGGCCAGACUCUUCAAUCUUUCAUCCAUUUCUACAACAGGUGACCAUAGGGGUGUAACACCUGGGGGUUGGGGAUGGUUCAGACUGUAAAUAGCAGAAUCCAAUUAAGUGGAAAGAGGGAAGGAGGAGAAAUAUCCCCUGAAGCCUAGAGAAGGGGUUUCAGGAAAUACCAUUGAGUAGCUCUCCUCCAGGCUGAAGGAAAAAUGGGCCUGAGAGUUAUUUGGGAAUGAUGGGGGUGGUAGUGGGAACUGCCUCAUAUCACUGGCUGUUUCUGCCCAGGGGCUGCCCAUGGCCUCUGAAGUUGCAGCAGAGAUGGGAGAUUCUUAGAUGAGACCAGUCUUUUAGCUAGUACCGGAGUUUCCUUGUUCUGGAAACACUUCCUUAAGACAUGCCCCUUACCCUCUGCUCCCCACAACAAAAGACAGAGGCAGGCAGUAGUCCCAGGAGAUGCUGGGCUACCAGGAGCCCUGGGAAGUACAGGGUAAUAUUUGUUACUUGGCUAAAGAUGAAGGCGGGGCAUAUAGAUCGGUACGGUCUGGAUGGGUUCCGGUUUUGUGUAAACCAGUGCUGUAUACUGGGAAAAUAUUAUAGAAAAAUGUUAGAGGCCAAAUUUAUGUUGAUUCAAAAACAAAACAAGGGCCAGGACCAUAUGCACAUAGUUCUAGAGAUGGGCAAUAUGUCAGCCUUCAUUCCUUCAUAGAGUUAUUCCCCACCUCCCCAUCUCUGUUCAUGAGAUGCAGUGGUAAGAAGGUUUUAAUCUGAUUUGCCCAUAUGAUCUGAGGAACGAUUUGUAGCCUUGUAGAGCAAGGAGGCCCUCAGCCAGGGCUGAAACAGUAUUCUACCUUAGACGCCGAAAAUGGAAAAAGGUGGCAGAAGACUCACAGAGACGACUUACAGAAGGUUCCAGAGAGGGAGGGAUUAGGCUGGGCAGAGGUCAGGAUGGAGGGGGGCACCACCCCUCCCUCAGAUCUGUGAUUCCUGCUUGCCUUGCAGGCUGCUGCUUCUAGGACUCUUCCCUCUCCUCCUUCCUGUAGGUGGGGUCCUUCAUUAUUGGCACACAGUAACAUUUGACCAGAAGUAGUGACCACAAGGACACCUGAGAGUCACACUCUUUCACUCGUACAUUCAAAGAUUCUUGAAGAUUUAGUAUGUGUCAGGGACUAGGGGAACAAAGAUGACUAAUAUAACUAGUUUCCUUCUAUUUAAGAAGUUCGUUGUCUAACGGGGGAGCCAUCCCCAUUGAGGGGGUAAUUACCAGGUAAUUUGGUGAGUAUAGUGAUAGACACAGACACCUGAAAUGAUGGAGCCCUGAGGAGGGCACCUAAGUUAUCUGAUGGGGGAAGGAUAGGCUGGUGUGUCAGGAAGACUUUUUGGAGGAAGUGACAGUAGGAUUUGUUUAUCAUCAAGUAAGUGGAAGGUCAUGAUGUGGAAAAGGCAAGACAUGAGCAGGGUUCAUGUCUGUCUCUGAACAAUAGUACUUCUUAGUUUUAGCUGGGCACCAAUGGGAUUUAGCAAUCCCAUAUAGAGACUGUAUUUCCCAGCCACACUUGCACCUGGGGUAUGGCCAUGUGACCAAAUUUUGGCUAAAGGGGUACAAGAAAAAAUGAUGUAUGCAACUUCUGGGCCACAUUCUUAUGAGGAGCCUGCUUUCUCUCAGCCCUCUCUUUCCCCUGUCCCACUGGCUGGCAAAAGGGAACUAUAGGAGCAGCCACCUUGGGCCCAGAGGUACAAGCUCCCUGUUGAGGCUGAAAGAGCCAGCCCUCCAGCUGGGAUCCCUAGAGAGCUCACAAAGCAAGAUUAACUACCUGCCCUUUAGAACGUCCUCUGGGCUAUUAGCAGAGAGGGAAGUGAAUUCUUAUCUUGUUUUGGCCAUUGUAUUUGGAGGGCUUCACAGCAGCCUCAUCUCUGUCCUGGCUCAUUCUGUACAGGAGGUGCUAACCCCUGACCUAGCUACCUGGCCUGCUGACACUGGUAUGUAGCUGACUAGAUACCAUAGUCCCGAGGUGGGCACCUUGCACAUUCAGCUGACCCAGGGCCCGCCUAACCCACAAGCCUAAGUAUUGCUAGCCAAUGCGCAACACUGGGAGACUGCUUUUCUAAUGAGGAGACUGUUUGGCUUUAAAAGAUUUGUCCCAGUUGUCCUCCCCAAUCUCCUCACUGAGCCUUGACUUUGUGCUAGGUAUUUGGUCCUUGCUUGGCUGCAAAACUAUUCCAGUUAAUGCUCAAUAUUUGGUCUCUAAUAGUUUGUGUGUUUCCCUUAUCAGAGUUAUGCACAGAGAAACCAGGGAGGCCUUCAGUCAUCAUUAUACAUGCAAGGUCAUCCAGAAAGAAUUCCUGAGCAUAAGGCCAAGGCCCAAAUAGUUGUUCUCAAAUUUUAGUUGCAGUGAAAUCAUCUGCAGGAGUUUAUUUAAAAUUCAUAAUCCCAGGAAUUUCUCAAGGGAUUUGAACGCAGGAGGUCUGGAGUGGAAUUGGGGAUCUACACACAGCACAGCAGAUUCUAACUCAGGCAUUUUGUGGCUCACACUUGCAGAAACUCUGUUUUCAGAGUCUUCAUAAAGACUGUUACUACAUGCAAACUAGACAUCCAGACCAAGCUCUGAAUCUCUCUGAAUUCAGUGCUUAGGUCCUUGAUGAAAGGUCUAGAGUCUGCUAAUUCUAAGGGCAUGAGUUAGGAUGAUGAGACUGGGGGUCCAUAAUGUCACAUACUGAUGAGGCAUUGUUAGAGAAAGGGAACAGACUAUUUGGAGGAGGGUUAAGUUCAAUUUU